AAGCAGCAGCGCAUUCAGAGCUGUCAAACAGUUAAACACAGCGAGUAGACCGCGCGAGCAGACGACUCAGCGAUCAUGGAGCGCAGGCUAUAGAGGAUUUGAGAAGGGAAGCAGCUUGUUCGCGACAAUCGAGGCGACUCGGCGACAGUAGAAGCUUGUCCGAUUUGACUCGACGCGCUUGGCCGCUAGGAGGGUCAAGAUCAGACACAUUAGGCGUACAUAGCUGUAAAUUAUCGUUGACAAGCUGUGUCAUCCGAACAAGUCAGUAAUAGAUUGAUGGUUGUCUAUGGUCGGCUUUUCCCCCUAAUUCAGUGGCUCAUUCGUAUAACAUAAACGUCCAUGAUGAAUUCCAAGCAAAUAUUGUUGUUCUCUACGUAUAAAAUGGACCAAACAACGUUCUUUCAAUGCAGAACAAUUCUCGAAUCACUUGGCCUUCAGAGGGAUUUUUCCAGUGACCAUCCUUUAAUUAGAAGUUUUUCACAACGGUAUAUCCAUGUAGCUAUGCUUGUGAAAAUCCUUGUAGACAGUUGUUUUGGAUUCCUGUUCUCAAACAAGCGAUUGAGGCAACAAAGCAAGUGUGAGUAUAGACACGGGUUAUAAACAUUUUGACGAACAAUCAAAUUAAAAUGCUCAAUGAUUAUGUUUGUAAUUGCUUGUAUAGCCAUAGAGAUUAUUUUUUAUUCCUCGUUUUUUACUUAUAAUUUUUUACGUUUAAGGUGAAUGUAAGAAAUAGCUCAAACUAAAAAAGUUCGACAUACACAGGUUGUUUUAUUGCACUACAUCCUGUUGGAGUAAUAAUUCAGAAAAAGCAUGCCCUCAUAAAAUUUGCAAGUGUGACACUAAACUGUGAAUGAAUAUUUCUCUCAGAAUCGUUGUAGAAGAAUGGAGCCUCAAUUCACAGCAAAA